CCUACGGGUGGCAGCAGUGAGGAAUAUUGGUCAAUGGGCGCGGGCCUGAACCAGCCAAGUAGCGUGAAGGAUGACUGCCCUAUGGGUUGUAAACUUCUUUUAUAUGGGAAUAAAAUGUUCCACGUGUGGGGUUUUGUAUGUACCAUAUGAAUAAGGAUCGGCUAACUCCGUGCCAGCAGCCGCGGUAAUACGGAGGAUCCGAGCGUUAUCCGGAUUUAUUGGGUUUAAAGGGAGCGUAGGUGGAUUGUUAAGUCAGUUGUGAAAGUUUGCGGCUCAACCGUAAAAUUGCAGUUGAAACUGGCAGUCUUGAGUACAGUAGAGGUGGGCGGAAUUCGUGGUGUAGCGGUGAAAUGCUUAGAUAUCACGAAGAACUCCGAUUGCGAAGGCAGCUCACUGGACUGCAACUGACACUGAGGCUCGAAAGUGUGGGUAUCAAACAGGAUUAGAUACCCCUGUAGUC
rnacentral:rRNA from 1 species